rnacentral:rRNA from 1 species
UACGGAGGAUGCGAGCGUUAUCCGGAUUUAUUGGGUUUAAAGGGAGCGUAGGCGGGAGGUCAAGUCAGCUGUGAAAUGUAUCUGCUUAACGGGUACACUGCAGUUGAAACUGGUUUUCUUGAGUGCGUAAGAGGCAGGCGGAAUUCGUUGUGUAGCGGUGAAAUGCUUAGAUAUCACGAGGAACUCCGAUUGCGCAGGCAGCUUACUAAACUACUACUGACGCUCAGGCACGAAGGCGUGGGGAUCAAACAGGAUUAGAUA